rnacentral:rRNA from 1 species
GAUGAACGCUGGCGGCGUGCUUAACACAUGCAAGUCGAACGGAAAGGCUCCUGCUUGCAGGGGUACUCGAGUGGCGAACGGGUGAGUAACACGUGGGUGAUCUGCCCUGCACUUCGGGAUAAGCCUGGGAAACUGGGUCUAAUACCGGAUAGGACGAUGGUUUGGAUGCCAUUGUGGAAAGUUUUUCGGUGUGGGAUGAGCUCGCGGCCUAUCAGCUUGUUGGUGGGGUAAUGGCCUACCAAGGCGUCGACGGGUAGCCGGCCUGAGAGGGUGUACGGCCACAUUGGGACUGAGAUACGGCCCAGACUGCUACGGGAGGCAGCAGUGGGGAAUAUUGCACAAUGGGCGCAAGCCUGAUGCAGCGACGCCGCGUGGGGGAUGACGGCCUUCGGGUUGUAAACUCCUUUCGCUAGGGACGAAGCGCAAGUGACGUUACCUGGAGAAGAAGCACCGGCUAACUACGUG